CGAUUGAUCAAAUGGAACAUUGAAAUGCAAACACGAUUUAUGUUUUCAUUAAUUAGGAACAACCAAUCGUCGACUAUAAAAUCGUUUGCUGAUUUCAUUCCGUCAAUCGUCUGCUUUGGACACGAUCAUGCAAUGAGGGUUUUUAUUGCAGCGACUACUUUGGCUCUAGUUAUACUCUUAUCGGAUGGUGUUGAUAGAGGCCUGCUAGAAAAAGACAAGCCCUCUCACCGGGCCUUCUCUGACAAACUAGACAAGAAGUUUGGAGGAGGACCUAUCUACGAGAAGGUGUUCAGACCAGCAAUUCACAGUGCAUACCAUUCUUGGAGAGCUGCCAAGUCGGGGAAUGGAGCGGAGUGGGACAGGGCCAAGGACCAGAUCUCAAAGAUCGGAUCUGGUCAACAACGGACGGAUUAUCUGGGAAAAAGAAGAAGAGGAAAGUAACCAGAAGGAAAUGCCAGAUAAAGAAUUUUGUAACGUUCACGUUAUCUGCUGGUGUGGAAUGUGAACUUUAGAAUAGCUGACUGGUGACUGGUUGACUGGUGACUGGUGACGUCACUGAUUUACAUUUCGCAAGACCGCUCUUUAACAAA